rnacentral:rRNA from 1 species
UACGUAGGGUCCGAGCGUUGUCCGGAAUUACUGGGCGUAAAGAGCUCGUAGGUGGUUUGUCGCGUUGUUCGUGAAAACUCACAGCUUAACUGUGGGCGUGCGGGCGAUACGGGCAGACUUGAGUACUGCAGGGGAGACUGGAAUUCCUGGUGUAGCGGUGGAAUGCGCAGAUAUCAGGAGGAACACCGGUGGCGAAGGCAGGUCACUGGGCCGCAACUGACGCUGAGGAGCGAAAGCAUGGGGAGCGAACAGG